GUAUCCGUAGCUCAAUCGGAUAGAGUGUUGGCUUCCGACGCCAAAGGUUGUGGGUUCAAUUCCCGCCGGAUACGCCA
rnacentral:tRNA from 1 species